rnacentral:sRNA from 1 species
UCCAUGGAAUCAGGGUGCACGCUUAAGC